UACACUCCUACGGGAGGCAGCAGUGAGGAAUAUUGGACAAUGGGUGGAAGCCUGAUCCAGCCAUCCCGCGUGCAGGAAGACGGCCCUAUGGGUUGUAAACUGCUUUUAUCUGGGGAUAAACCUACUUACGUGUAAGUAGCUGAAGGUACCAGAAGAAUAAGCACCGGCUAACUCCGUGCCAGCAGCCGCGGUAAUACGGAGGGUGCAAGCGUUAUCCGGAUUUAUUGGGUUUAAAGGGUCCGUAGGCGGACUGAUAAGUCAGUGGUGAAAUCCGACAGCUUAACUGUCGAACUGCCAUUGAUACUGUUAGUCUUGAGUAAGGUUGAAGUGGCUGGAAUAAGUAGUGUAGCGGUGAAAUGCAUAGAUAUUACUUAGAACACCAAUUGCGAAGGCAGAUCACUAAGUCUUAACUGACGCUGAUGGACGAAAGCGUGGGGAGCGAACAGGAUUAGAAACCCCGGUAGUCCC
rnacentral:rRNA from 1 species